rnacentral:rRNA from 1 species
GGGAAACUCACCAGGUCCAGACUUAAUAAGGAUUGACAGAUUGAUAGCUCUUUCUUGAUUUUAUGGGUGGUGGUGCAUGGCCGUUCUUAGUUCGUGGAGUGAUUUGUCUGCUUAAUUGCGUUAACGAACGAGACCUUAACCUGCUAAAUAGAAGUGCAUAUCUUCGGAUAAGCACCGUUCUUCUUAGAGGGACUUUAUGCGUUUCAGCAUGAGGAAGUUUGAGGCUAAAA